GUGUUCACUUCAGCAGCACAUAUACUAAAACUAGACUGAUUCAGAGAAGCCCCUGCACAAGGAUGACAUGCAAAUUUGUGAAGCAUUCCAUAUUUUU
rnacentral:snRNA from 1 species